rnacentral:rRNA from 1 species
CGCAUCUGUGCAUGCAGCAUAUCAAUAAGCGGAGGAAAAGAAACUAACAAGGAUUCCCCUAGUAACGGCGAGUGAAGCGGGAAGAGCUCAAAUUUGAAAUCUUAAAGGGUUUCCCUUUACGAAUUGUAGUUUAAAGAAGUGUUUUCUGUUGAGGUUUUGGUAAAAGUUCUUUGGAAUAGGACAUCAUAGAGGGUGAGAAUCCCGUAUUUGACCUUUACUUUCAACUUUGUGAUACACUUUCAAAGAGUCGGAUUGUUUGGGAAUGCAGUCCAAAAUGGGUGGUAAAUUUCAUCUAAAGCUAAAUAUUGGCGAGAGACCGAUAGCGAACAAGUACCGUGAGGGAAAGAUGAAAAGAACUUUGAAAAGAGAGUUAAACAGUACGUGAAAUUGUCAAAAGGGAAGCGUUUGACACCAGUGUUGUUUUUCUGAAAAUCAAUUAAAGAACUGUUUAUGCUAAGUUGUUUAGACUUUAUCAGCUAACUGUUUAGUUUUGAGCUUUUCUUUAAUACACUUUUCAGUUAACAAGUCAACAUCAAUUUCUUUUGCUGUAAAAAAGCUUGAGGAAGGUGGCUUGAGACUCGUCUUAAGUGUUUAUAGCCUCUUGCCUAUGCAGUCGGAGAGAUUGAGGUCUGCAGCGUAGAUCCUUCGGGGCUAAAUGCAUUUGUGCUAAGUUAUAGCAUUUUAUAGACAACUUGUUGACUAUGAUUUGUCUUGUAGCUUACUCGCUUAUGUUAUUUUACCUACGCUUAGGAUGUUGAGCGCAUGUCUCUCUCU